rnacentral:tRNA from 1 species
UUCGAAUCCCGGGCAACCCAUCGUCAUAUCGAAGU